AGAUCACUGCUACUUCGACAUCAUUGCCUGUUUAGCCUGUUUACGGGAGAAGCGAAUGUGCAGGUCUUCACAGAAACCAAACGAUAAAGGUGUUGCUGUUUGUUUGCCUUGCUGUUGUUUGCCUUGCCUUCCUUCUGAUGCAAACAUUAGAAAAAGAAUUCGUUUAAAACAAGGCACAAUUCGACGAGGGAUUUUAAAAAAGAUUGAAGCUAAAAGACGAUGCUAUGCUGACUAUAUUAGAUCCGACAGUAAUGUCGCAACACAAGUUGUGAAGUCCAAAAGAUGUGCAAGCUGCUCUUUUUUCAUACAAUGAAAGUGGAUGGGGACCAAGAAUGGGCACUUUUGUGUUCCACAGAAGAAAGGCUUAUGGGUAUAGAACCACAUGAGGAGAUGAUGAUGGAUUUUUUUAUUUUUUGGAAGAACUACCUUUUAUUGUUUAAAUGUUUGAGCAGUGUAUCAUCUUUGACAGCAGCUCAAUAGCACGAGUUUUGUACAGAAAUUCACUGACCUUGAAGCAUGACCUUAAAAUGUCAUCCUAUGUGAGUGAAUAAUAAACUCAAUAUCCUGAGAUCUAAUGCAUCAAAGAUGUCUGAGGUACUGAAUUUUCAAAUUUUAUUACCAUGAACAAAGCAAAACAAAAUACAGGCUUGAGGGUUUUGUAGCCUCAAAAAAAAAUAUAUAUAUAUUUUUUUUUUUUGGAAGUCAAAGUUCCAAUACUUAGUCAUUCAGGAACAAUUUUAGGUCUACAUUUGUGAAGGCAUUCUCUGUAUAUGUCUGUGACGUGAUGAUCAUGUGAGAAAGUCCCUUUCCUGCAGUCAUUUUCAUAACUGUGUCCAUAUGGCUGGACUUUGGACUUCAAACAGACCUCUGAGGGACUUGACACAUCUCAAAACAUCAGUGUCUCACCCAGGGAAGGCAACGGAGAACAGGACAAUGCAUAAAGAAAAGCAUGUGUAUGCAAACAUUCUCACCAGCCAUAUAUUUCAGAGCACAGAGACAUCACUACUUCCUGAACCAAUCCUGAAUAAUUUUGACAUCAACACAUUUCCAGAUGUUGUAAUUCAUCAUUACAUUAAGAGGCCAGCAGUUUCUUGAUGCUACAGUAAUAUUUAAACAAAACUACUAAAACUAAAUGUAAUGCUAUUAACCUAACGAUCCAUAUUUUUGAGUAUAUUCUUGUUUUGUGGAAGUGUGUUGGUAUAGAGGUGAUUUCCUUUAGAUACUUAUACUUCAUCCUGGCCUCUUAUAAUCUAGAUAGAACAUUGACUGAAUUGCUUAUAGAGGAUGGAUGGAUGGAUGGAUUGAUGGAUG